rnacentral:rRNA from 1 species
GACGUAGGGCGCAAGCGUUGUCCGGAUUUAUUGGGCGUAAAGAGCUCGUAGGCGGCUUGUCGCGUCGUCUGUGAAAUCCCGCGGCUCAACUGCGGGCUGGCAGUCGAUACGGGCAGGCUGGAGUUCGGUAGGGGAGACUGGAAUUCCUGGUGUAGCGGUGAAAUGCGCAGAUAUCAGGAGGAACACCAAUUGCGAAGGCAGCUCGCUGGAACGUAACUGACGCUGAGACGCGAAAGCGUGGGGAGCAAACAGG